ACCAUAGGUAUCUUUAGGUGGAUCUAUUAUUUGAUGAGCCUGGUUUAUAGGUGUGUAAUAAGAAUCGGCCUAUCUUCUAAGGUGAACAAUUGAACUCGUUUAGAAUGCAUGUUUAGGUUAAAGAUCUCUCGGCUUCUCCGGUUAUUCUUAGCUAUAGGCAUAGGGAGUUUCGCGGAACACCACUGGUUAUUCUAUAAUUAGAGUUUGAGUUUAAGAAUGGUUCGAUAACAACCUAGCUAUUAUUAGAUUUACAAACCAAUUGUUUCCUGAGAAUACCCUAAGCCUAACGUUUUUACUUUCUUGUCUUACAACCUCACAAAGUCACAAUCUGCUAUUGCUUCCUUUUGUUUCUUUUUAUUUUCAUUACUAUCUUACUUAGCUUAAUUCAAAACUUUGGUCUAUUGUGUGAUUUGAGAGCUUUGUGGAAUUCGACCCUUAAGUGCUACAAUCGAUCUCUUAUUUGAGAGAGUAGUCUUAAGGCAAUUUGACAUAUAUCACUACUUCUAGAGUAGCUAAAUAGAACUUGACAUAUAUCCUAGUUUCCAACACAACCACUAAGGCUGGAGUUAAUCUCACUGCUCUUCCUUUUACCUCUUCAAACAGUUAGUAUUCAUAGAUCUUGACUUCUUGUUCAUACCUGAUAUUGAGACCAAUGUGAUAAAAAGAAUGUGUUUCUCUUCCAUUAUAAAAAAAGAAAGAAAAUGAGAGAUUGACAGGAUUUUCAGACAGUGUAUAGGGGUAGAAAUGUUUUCUAUGACCCUAUUAUUAUAUAUUAUCUAGAAUGAUCAAUUACAAAGGUUCGAAAAAUGCCGAGAGUGUCGAUCUAGUAUGCGAGUUCCCCUUUGUUUACUCUCUAAAAAGAAUAAGUCUGGGGAGAGAAAGAACACCAAAGAAAAAAAUAUAUAAAUAAUGGUCGAUUUAUCAUGGUAUAGUAAAAGAAUGAGUCUAGAAGGAUCUUGAAUGUUAGCUUGUUUGAUGAGACCCAGCGAUGAAAGCGU
rnacentral:sRNA from 1 species